UUUAGUGUCAAGGUAAUACUCUCUGUGGGUGAAGGGUACUCGAAAGAAGAACGAGUAUGAUGCUGUAUAUAAAUGUACUCGACCUUUCUUUACUACAUAACCUUCUUCCCAAAAAGACAUUAUCAAGAUUCGCGCGAGGAAAGUAAAAAGAUAUUUUAUCGCAUGUAAAAGGAAAAAGCUUGUUUCCGGUUCGCUCAGCGUGGGCGUUUAAAAGCACCGAUAAAAUAAUUGGCGUGAAUUGAUGGUAAAGGAUUACGCAAGCGAUAACGAUCGUUCAAUCACCGAACAUGAUGAAUAGUAUCUUGUUUAACUAGUGCAACGUUCUCAUGAAAAUGUUAAUUAGAAGAGA